CCUGAUGGAACGCGGCAGAUUGACUGGUGCGGGGAACAACAGUCACGGCAUCAGCGUCAAUGGCGCCUUUGAUGGCGCCCCGGCCAAGUCUAGCCAAGGACGCCGCAAAGCUAUGCGCUGGUACUACACUCACAAACAGUCUCUCGGGUUUGGCCCCAUUCUCUCCUUUCUUUAUGCCUUUAGCUCUAGUGUCAACUAGAGAGAUUCCUCCGGCUGGGAAUUCGAAGAGGGCGAUGAAUUGGAAUUGAAGAAUGAGGAGCCGGAGCUUGUAAAAGCCUGGAUCCGGCAGGAUGAUCUUUUUCAAGAGCUGCUUUUGAGCUAGGGACCGGCGGGUGUAGGAACCUCGUUGAUGUACAAGGUGCGGUUAAGGCACUUCACUGUGCUGGACAAGAAAACUUCUUCCUUUUGUUUUGGUGGACAUAAAUUCUAAGAAACUCGCAGUGCCCAUCUAGAAGCAUGAGAUAUUAUGCAAUGAAGUGCAGUUUAUUACUUUG